rnacentral:rRNA from 1 species
CCUACGGGGGGCUGCAGUGGGGAAUAUUGGACAAUGGGGGGAACCCUGAUCCAGCCAUGCCGCGUGUGUGAAGAAGGCCCUCGGGUUGUAAAGCACUUUCAGUGAGGAAGAACGCCUGGUGGUUAAUACCCAUCAGGAAAGACAUCACUCACAGAAGAAGCACCGGCUAACUCCGUGCCAGCAGCCGCGGUAAUACGGAGGGUGCGAGCGUUAAUCGGAAUUACUGGGCGUAAAGCGCGCGUAGGUGGCUUGAUAAGCCGGUUGUGAAAGCCCCGGGCUCAACCUGGGAACGGCAUCCGGAACUGUCAAGCUAGAGUGCAGGAGAGGAAGGUAGAAUUCCCGGUGUAGCGGUGAAAUGCGUAGAGAUCGGGAGGAAUACCAGUGGCGAAGGCGGCCUUCUGGACUGACACUGACACUGAGGUGCGAAAGCGUGGGUAGCAAACAGGAUUAGAUACCUCGGUAGUC